UACGGGAGGCAGCAGUGGGGAAUAUUGCACAAUGGGCGCAAGCCUGAUGCAGCCAUGCCGCGUGUAUGAAGAAGGCCUUCGGGUUGUAAAGUACUUUCAGCGGGGAGGAAGGUGUUGUGGUUAAUAACCGCAGCAAUUGACGUUACCCGCAGAAGAAGCACCGGCUAACUCCGUGCCAGCAGCCGCGGUAAUACGGAGGGUGCAAGCGUUAAUCGGAAUUACUGGGCGUAAAGCGCACGCAGGCGGUCUGUCAAGUCGGAUGUGAAAUCCCCGGGCUCAACCUGGGAACUGCAUUCGAAACUGGCAGGCUAGAGUCUUGUAGAGGGGGUAGAAUUCCAGGUGUAGCGGUGAAAUGCGUAGAGAUCUGGAGGAAUACCGGUGGCGAAGGCGGGCCCCUGGGACAAAGACUGACGCUCAGGUGCGAAAGCGUGGGGAGCAAACGAGGAUUAGGAUAACC
rnacentral:rRNA from 1 species